GAUGAACGCUGGCGGCGUGCCUAAUACAUGCAAGUCGAGCGAACAGACGAGGAGCUUGCUCCUCUGACGUUAGCGGCGGACGGGUGAGUAACACGUGGAUAACCUACCUAUAAGACUGGGAUAACUUCGGGAAACCGGAGCUAAUACCGGAUAAUAUAUUGAACCGCAUGGUUCAAUAGUGAAAGACGGUUUUGCUGUCACUUAUAGAUGGAUCCGCGCCGCAUUAGCUAGUUGGUAAGGUAACGGCUUACCAAGGCAACGAUGCGUAGCCGACCUGAGAGGGUGAUCGGCCACACUGGAACUGAGACACGGUCCAGACUCCUACGGGAGGCAGCAGUAGGGAAUCUUCCGGAAUGGGCGAAAGCCUGACGGAGCAACGCCGCGUGAGUGAUGAAGGUCUUCGGAUCGUAAAACUCUGUUAUUAGGGAAGAACAAAGGUGUAAGUAACUAUGCACGUCUUGACGGUACCCAAUCAGAAAGCCACGGCUAACUACGUG
rnacentral:rRNA from 1 species